UACGUAGGUGGCAAGCGUUGUCCGGAUUUACUGGGUGUAAAGGGCGUGUAGCCGGGCUUACAAGUCAGAUGUGAAAUCCGGGGGCUCAACCCCCGAACUGCAUUUGAAACUGUAGGUCUUGAGUAUCGGAGAGGCAGGCGGAAUUCCUAGUGUAGCGGUGAAAUGCGUAGAUAUUAGGAGGAACACCAGUGGCGAAGGCGGCCUGCUGGACGACAACUGACGGUGAGGCGCGAAAGCGUGGGGAGCAAACAGG
rnacentral:rRNA from 1 species